CUCAUCACAUGUCGCUUAUCUCUCAAAAUACGUAUGUUUUCUGUUUUCAGAGAAGGGUCAAUAAUCGUGUUGAGCUUGAGAUUUGUUAUCCACUGUACGUUGCCUGUGGUAUAAAAGUGAUUGAGAUUUCCAUUUGUGUAAUCCAGAGGUAAAUUCCGGCUCCAUCGUGACUUUGUUGAACAAAGUGAAAGCCCUGGGCCUUCCCAUGCAACAACUCCUAAACAAAAGGAACACAUGGAAAACUGCGACGCUGAUUUGCACGAUUGAAAAUUCAUUUGGCUUGGAGAACUUUUGAGCAAGAACAUGCUAACCACUAUGGCAUGGAAUAGAAUAAUUUCUUCCAAUGACAUAAUUGGGCUGUGUAUGGAGAAGGUUGUCCAACGGUUGCUGGUAAUAACUGACAGACCCCUAGCGACGGUGCUCCCGUGACAUUCGGAUGGCUUGUGAUACCGUCGGCUGAACUUCAAAGAAUUUAAUCCAAUAUGUAAAUGAUUGCUAGUGACUACUAUGGAGACACUUGCUGAUGUUAGAAUUACUCAAUCCAGUUUAACUGUAUAAACAGGCAUAUUGUCAUUAAGAAGUUUUUAAUGUUUGUAAAGAUUUUUCAUGUAGAUAACUGCCUUUUCUGCAUCUAAGAAACCCUAUCAGUUCUGAGAUCUUGGUUUUGGGUUGGCAAAGGCGCCUGCUGCUUUUCACAUCUGUGAAUGUGUUGAGUGAGUUUCCUCAUGAAAAUGUGUUUCUUCUUAGAAGACAUUUUGGUGGUAAGACUGUAGAAGACCAUACAGGAUGGUGAAUGCGGUUUUGCGAAAGUGGCAAAGUGAGAGUGAUUUGCAGAAUGUGCCAUGCUUGCAAAAGUCGGUUAAGUCUGUGUUAUCUUUAGAGUUGGGAAUCUGAUAAUAAAACGAAACUUACUACUUUGGCUUCUGUAAUUAUUCCUAUACUUUGGAUCAUUAGAUUUAUUUUAAAACUGUAUUUUAUACUAAAGUAAACUUUUACUUUUAAGGCCCUUGUAUUUUAAUGUUAUACAAGUAAAUGACUAAAGUGAUUCAUUGGUAUUGUGACUUCCAAGAUUUAUAUGUUUAGUAGUUAAUCAUGUAAUGGUUCUAGCUGUCUGGUAAAAUUAAAACAAACCUGAGACGACUACUGGGUUUUGGCAAUGUGAUAUUUUCAAUGAGUAUUAACGAGUUUUAUUUUGCAAGUUCGAGGCUCUGUAUAUGAAGCUGUUUACGUGGGUCGGCGUCAACCUCGACUACUACAAUCAUCGAGACCAAAAUUUUAAGUAGAUACUAAGUAAAUGUUACUACAGAAUGUCUUAAUUCUUGGGUGUACUGACUAAAAUGACCAUAUUUUUUAAACUUGAAAUUGCACUCGGGUCAAUACUUUUAUGUAGGAAAUUGUUUUAAGUAAUGUAUAAAAAGGGAUGUAGCCUCGGAAGCUUCCAGCCUUAUAGUUAGCGAGUUCUUGAGCAAGUCAGUCACGAUCUUGCCCAUGACUGGAAUGAUAGAAUAAUUAAAAAUAAAUUAUCCUGCAAUAAUUUCUUAAAUGCAUGAAAAGGGCAAGAAAGUGUUUGCUGCCAGAAAGACAGUUGUGCGAUUAUUUGAAAUCUGGUCAUUCUUUCGAUUUAAGUUCUAGAAUGGUAUGCGUUUUAUGGAGGCGGUAAAAAGCCAAACUUUUGUCCAAAUUUUGACUUAACAGGUUGUUUAAUUAAUAUGUAACAGCUUCUGUUAGAUAAUGCAUAUAAA